rnacentral:rRNA from 1 species
GUAAGGUAGUGGCCUACCAAGGUGAUUACGGGUAACGGGGAAUCAGGGUUCGAUUCCGGAGAGGGAGCCUGAGAAACGGCUACCACAUCCAAGGAAGGCAGCAGGCGCGCAAAUUACCCAAUCCAGACACUGGGAGGUGGUGACGAGAAAUACCGGGUCGUGCCCAAAAGGUUUCGACACUGGAAUGGGUGGAAUUUAAGAAUUUCCACGAGUAGCAACUGGAGGGCAAGUCUGGUGCCAGCAGCCGCGGUAAUUCCAGCUCCAGUAGUGUAUCUUAAAGUUGCUGCGGUUAAAACGCUCGUAGUUGGACAAGAGAGCGAUCAGGUGCGGGCGGGGAGUAUGCCUACCCUGUACYGAUUCUGUGAUGUGUUGGCUCCGGCCGGCCAUUGCUAGUAAUUGGACAGGAGUACUACUUGUCGACCAUGCUGCCUGGUCGCUUGUUUGAUCGUGAGAAUGUCAUAUGGCCUUAACUGUGCUGUGUGACGUGUCUUACGUAGUGUGCCUUGAAUAAAUCAGAGUGCUCAAAGCAAGCUAACGCUUGAAUGUUAAUAGCAUGGAACGAAUGUUUUGUGAAAGCGUAGGUAGUGGGUUUACUUGUAUUCCUGCURCUUACGCAGCACCAACUCCGAUUCGGAACAUUGGUAGCCGAUAUCGGGUGAUGAUUAAGAGGGACAUUUGGGGGCAUUAGUAUUUGGACGCGAGAGGUGAAAUUCUUGGACCGUCCAAGGACUAACAAGUGCGAAAGCAUUUGCCAAGUAUGUUCCCUUUAAUCAAGAACGAAAGUGAGAGGUUCGAAGACGAUCAGAUACCGUCCUAGUUCUCACCGUAAACGAUGCCAACCCGGGAUCAGCUCGGAUAGUAAUUUUUGGAUCCAG